AAGAAGUUAGUUAAAAUAUAACAUUAGUAUGUCAUACUAAAAUUAUUAUUGAUUAAUACAUCUUU
rnacentral:tRNA from 1 species